GGUAAGAAUGGACAGAAGAUAAGUAGUGAAAAAGGUGCAUUACAAACUGUACUUAAAAAACCAAUUGAAAUUUCUGAUGAAGAUAUGAAACAAGAAAUAUCUGGUGAAGAAAAAGAAACGACAGAAACUGAUGAAGUUAAGAAAGAGAAAAUAGAGGAAGAAAGCAAAUUGGAUAAUAUACCAGUAAAACAUGAAGAAUUGAGUAUUGACUUAAAGGAAGACGAAAAUGCAGAAUCACAGGCAGAAGAAAUUGUAGAAAAAAUUGUAAACGAAAUUAUUGAACCAAAUAUAGAAUCAAAAGAAGGUCUGAAUAAUCUUCAACUAAGUAAACAGAUGUUAAAACAAUUAAAUAAGAAUAUUUUAUUUAAUGAAGACUUUUUGAAAGAUAUUUUACCAGAUUAUUCAAACAUAAAUAAAACAUUAAAAGAACUAGUUACUGUAUUAGAAAAAGAAAGAACCGAUUUAAAGAAUGUAAAUUAUUUUAAAAAAGAAAUACAGAAUAAUUUUGCCUAUCGUAAUGGUCUUUAUUUUAGUGAAACGAGUGUAAAAGAAUAUAAUAAUAAUGUUGAUUCUGAAAAGUAUGCUAUUAUAAAUUUACCUGAAGAUACAAUGGUUUUUGUUAUAACUGCAAAUAAAUUAUUUUUUCAAGAUUUGAUUUAUUCAACUAAUAAAUAUACUGCUAUUAAAAAUAAAUUUACUUACAUGAUGAAUCAUAUUAUUUUUAAUUUAAAAAAUAAAUUUUAUUUUAAAGAUUAUACUUAUCAAUAUUUAUAUAAAGAAGAUUCUUUUGCUAAUGAUCCAUUAAAUAAAAAGUUAAAUAUGGAAUUACUUGGCUCUUUAGCAAAUGUUACACAAACUAUAUAUAUCGAUGAAAUAAAAGAAAAAAAAGUAACUAUGCAUAAAUUAUAUGGUGGUUGGUUUCAUUAUUUAGGUAUUAUGGUUAUUCAUGGAUAUGUAUACAAACCAAUAAUAAAAGAUCCAGCAGAAAUAAAUAAAAAUUUGGUUAUACCUUUAUCAGAAGUGGAAGAAUUUAAAAAAAAAAUAACACAAAAAAAACAUAAUGCUUACUAUAAUGAUUAUACAUUAGGUUUAUGGAGAGAUUAUCCAAACAAUAAAUUUAUACCAUGGAGAUUUUCGUUAGAAUUAUUUUUGUGGGACAUUAUUGAUGUAAUGCCUCAUGAAUUACCACAUCCAUCAGAUUUGAUUAUAAAAUAUAGACGUGGUUAUGAAGCGUUAAUGAAUAAUGAAGGUGAAAACGUUUCUAUUGGUGGUAGUAUUGUAGGAGAAAAACAAAAUUAUAUCGAAUCGAAUACAAUAAGUUUUAACAAAUACGAAAUAAAUAAUUGGUAUGAAACUUUAAAGAAAAAAAUAACAUCUUAUCCUGGUUUUGAAGUAACUAUAGUAUCAGUACAAGAUUAUUUAGAAAAAUCUUUAGGUAAUGAUGCAACAAAAAAUAUAAAAAUAAAUUCUAACAAAACAUCUAAAACUAAGGAUUACAUUCUUUUGAUUUUGUUAAAUAAAAACUUUUUUGUGAAAGAGAUUUUAGAAAGUUCAAAAUAUCAUGAAGCAAAAAUUGGUUAUUUUACAAGUAAAAUGAAUGAUAUAUUAAAAACGUUAAAUAAAUUAUUAGAAGAGAUUAGUAAGUUAUUGAAUAAUGAUAAUAGUACUCCUAUAGAUGUUACUGAUUCUGAGGAUGUUGUAGGUGAUGUUGUAGGUGCAAAUAGUGUUAUUUCUUCUGUUCAAUCUAUUAUUUCUAGUGAUAGUAAUAUUAACUCUACCGAUGAAACAUCUGAUAAAAUUGAUCAUGGUAAUAACAAUUCAGAUAAUGAAUAUAAAAAACCAUUUGCUACAUUUUAUAACUACUUAAUAAAUAAAAACAAUUACGAAAACAUAAAUCCACAUAUUGUAUCAGAAUUAGCAGGUAUAACCAAACAUAUAAAAUGUAACAACUCCACUGUAGAUAAUUUUAAAUGCACACAUGAUGUAUCUUUACAUUACAAGUAUGGUGGUUGGUUUGAGUAUGGUGGAGCAAUAUAUAUAGAAAAUGUAAUCCCAGUUUAUAAUUUAACUUAUGAAAAACAUGGAACAAUUAUUAAUAAAGAAUAUGAAAAUAGUAUUUUAUACGAAGCAAAUGGUAAAUCUAGAAAUAUAGGAUUAUGGAGAGAUUUACCAAAUAAAAAUAUGUCCUUAUACAGAUAUCCCCUAGAUGUAUUUGCUCUUGAAUUUAAUCAUUAUUCAAUUAUGAAUAUUAACACUUUACAUCCUUACGUAUUAAUGGAUAUAUUAAACAAAGGAAUACGUUUAUACAGACCUUAUAUUGUACAUAUAAAUAAUACUAAUAUAGGUACAGGUAUGAAAAAUGGUGUUAAUGACAAUUUACAGAACAAACGUCCAAAUGAAAUAGAAACCAAAUAUAAUUUGUUUAAUUCACCAAACCGAUUCGUAUAUCCAAUUAGAGAAUUACACAACAUAAGAAAAAAAAAUAUAGAGAAAUAUAAUGUAGGAGGAAUAGGUACUAAUAAUACUACUACUACAAUUUCAGCACAAACAAAUACUGUACAUUCUGAUGAAGACAAUUAUACAGAAUUAUUGAAAGGAGACACAACUAUUCAUAAUAAUAAUAUUGAACAGUUAGAACGUGUUAAAAAAGGUAUAAGGACAACAGAUUUAAUAAAAAAAAACUAUUUAUGGAAUCAAAGAUUUAACUAAAAUAGGAUUAAUAAAUGAAGAUUCUGAAGAUAGAAAUCA
ensembl:lncRNA